rnacentral:lncRNA from 1 species
AUUAUAGAAUUACGGUUAAAAUUUGGAGAAUCAAGGAAAAGUAUAUAGGAGUUGUAGAAGUUAAUUAAGGUGCCAAACUGUGAUAGUUAUGAGCUGGGAGUAAGCUUGGUGCUACCUCUUUUCUUUUGUUUGUUAUUUUCUUUGAAUAAGAGGAUUGAGAGUUUCUGAAUAUUAUGAAGUGAAUUAUGGAAUGGAAAUGUGAUUGGUAUUAUUUGAGAAGAAGAAAGAUUGAAUGCUGAAAUCUGAUUGUAGUUCAGCAAAGAGAAUGAGUCUGUGUUUGUGUGAAACAUCGUAAUAUGAAUGGCAGUUCUGUGUGAAGAAUUCCAGUGAUUGGAAUGAGGGUAAUUGUGUGCUGAAAGCUGUGAGGGCGUAAUAUUAUUGUUGGAGAUUAUGAGGGUGAAUAUAUUGGUAGAAAUAGCAGUUAUUGGUAUGACUGAAUUGCUGUAAGAAAGAGAACGAUAAG